rnacentral:rRNA from 1 species
UACAGGGGGUGCAAACGUUGCUCGGAAUCAUUGGGCGUAAAGCGCACGUAGGCGGUUCGUUAUGUCGGAUGUGAAAGCCCUUGGCUUAACCGAGGAAGUGCAUCCGAAACUGGCGAGCUAGAGUACGAAAGAGGAUCGCGGAAUUCCCGGUGUAGAGGUGAAAUUCGUAGAUAUCGAGAGGAACACCGGUGGCGAAGGCGGCCUUCUGGACAGUGACUGACGCUGAGACGCGAAAGCGUGGGGAGCAAACAGG